UAAAUACUCCCGAGAGACCGAUAGCGAACCAGUACUGUGAAGGAAAGGUGAAAAGCACCUCGAACAGAGGAGUGAAAUAGUCCCUGAAACCGUCUGCCUACAAGCGGUCGGAGCAACGUAAGUUGUGACGGCGUGCCUUUUGCAUAAUGAACCUACGAGUUACUUUCUCCGGCAAGGUUAAGGGCUUCAGGCCCGGAGCCGAAGCGAAAGCGAGUCUUAAUAGGGCGGUAAGUUGAAUGCUGUAGACCCGAAACCCGGCGAGCUAGCCAUGAGCAGGUUGAAGUUUGAGUAAAAUCAAAUGGAGGACCGAACUAGGGCCUGUUGAAAAAGGCUUGGAUGACUUGUGGCUAGGGGUGAAAUUCCAAUCGAGCUGGGAUAUAGCUGGUUCUCCCCGAAAUAACUUUAGGGCUAGCGUUAAACAAGAGUUUUAUGAAGGUAGAGCACUGAAUAGUAGAUGGUCCCACCUCGGGAUACUGACAUUAAUCAAACUCCGAAUGUCAUAAAACGCGUUUAGCAGUCAGACUGCGAGUGAUAAGGUCCGUGGUCAAAAGGAAAAGAGUCCAGACCGCCAAAUAAGGUCCCAAAAUAUAUGCUAAGUGGAGAAGGAUGUAGAGAUGCCUAAACAACUAGGAUGUUGGCUUAGAAGCAGCCAUCAUUUAAAGAGUGCGUAAUAGCUCACUAGUCGAGUGACUCCGCGCCGAAAAUGUACCGGGGCUAAGCAUAUUACCGAAUUUGCGGAUUCGAUACGAAAGUAUUGAGUGGUAGGGGAGCGUUCCAUAAUGGGAAGAAGCAAGAUCGAGAGGACUUGUGGACUAUAUGGAAGUGAGAAUGCCGGUGUGAGUAACGAAAAGACAGGUGAGAAUCCUGUCCGUCAAAAACCCAAGGUUUCCAGGGGAAGGGUCGUCCGCCCUGGGUAAGUCUGGGCCUAAGGUGAGGCCGAGAGGCGUAGCUGAUGGAUAUCUGGUGUAUAUUCCAGAACUAGUAUAAUGACUGAUGGAGUGACGAAGAAGGCUAGGAUCCGAUUCUUAGUGGAUUGAAUACGAGAUAUCAAGAGGGGAUGUAGGCAAAUCCGCAUCUAGAAAUCAAGAUAUGACAGGUAAAGGAUAACGAAGUCAAGCUUCCAAGAAAAGCUUCUAGGGUUAAUCAUUAUACUACCAGUACCGUAAACCGACACAGGUGGGUAGGAAGAGAAUUCUAAGACGCGCGAGAAAACCCUUGUUAAGGAACUCUGCAAGUUGGCCCCGUAAGUUCGCAAUAAGGGGAGCUCAUGUAAAAGUGAGCCACAGAAAAGAAGCCCAAGCAACUGUUUAACAAAAACACAGGUUUAUGCAAAACCGUAAGGUGAAGUAUAUGAGCUGACACCUGCCCGGUGCUGGAAGGUUAAAAGGAGAGGUUAGAGCAAUCGAAGCCUUGAAUUGAAGCCCCAGUAAACGGCGGCCGUAACUAUAACGGUCCUAAGGUAGCGAAAUUCCUUGUCAGGUAAGUUCUGACCCGCACGAAAGGUGUAAUGUCUUUGGGCACUGUCUCAACAGGGGACUCGGUGAAAUCAAACUGCCGGUGAAAAUGCCGGCUACCCGCGAUUAGACGGAAAGACCCCAUGGAGCUUUACUGUAGGUUGAUAUUGAUAUUUGGUAUGUAAUGUACAGGAUAGGUGGGAGACUAUGAAGCUAGGACGUUAGUCUUGGUGGAGUCGACGUUGGGAUACCACCCUUUGCCUAUCGAGUAUCUAACUAGUGUAAGUGGAUUACAAAGGACAGUGUCAGUUGGGCAGUUUGACUGGGGCGGUCGCCUCCUAAAGAGUAACGGAGGCGCUCAAAGGUUCCCUCAGAAUGGUUGGAAAUCAUUCGCAGAGUGUAAACGCAGAAGGGAGCUUGACUGCAAGACAAACAAGUCGAGCAGGGACGAAAGUCGGAGUUAGUGAUCUUACGGUACCGCGUGGAAGGGCCGUGACUCAACGGAUAAAAGCUACCCUGGGGAUAACAGGCUGAUCACGCCCAAGCGUUCACAGCGACGGCGUGGUUUGGCACCUCGAUGUCGGCUCGUCGCAUCCUGGAGGUGGAUAAGCUUCCAAGGGUUGGGCUGUUCGCCCAUUAAAGCGGCACGCGAGCUGGGUUCAAAACGUCGUGAGACAGUUUGGUCCCUAUCUGUCGUGGGC
rnacentral:rRNA from 1 species